rnacentral:misc_RNA from 1 species
CAGAGAAAUUGCCCUUUGGGGUAGAUCUCCCACCCUUUGUUUACCAUUACCUUUGUUGCUUUGGCAGGCCCGUCUUAUGGCCACUGGCUUAGGCUGGUCUGUGCCUGCCAGAGGACCCUAAACUCUUGAUUUUUAUGUUGUCUGAGUAAUAUACAAAUAAGUUA